UUUAGUUCAAUUUAUACAUGCAAGUAUCCGCACCCCUGUGAGAAUGCCCUUAAUCCCCCAGCCGGGGACGAGGAGCUGGCAUCAGGCACGCUUAUGCAGCCCAAGACGCCUUGCUACGCCACACCCCCAAGGGAACUCAGCAGUAAUAAACAUUAAGCCAUAAGUGAAAACUUGACUUAGUUAGGACUAAGAGGGUCGGUAAAACUCGUGCCAGCCACCGCGGUUAUACGAGAGACCCUAAUUGAUAGAUACGGCGUAAAGAGUGGUUUAGGACAAGAACAAAUAAAGCCAAAGAUCCUCCUGGCUGUAGCACGCACUCCGAGGACACGAAGACCCAACACGAAAGUAGCUUUAAUUAUAUUUCCUGACCCCACGAAAGCUAAGAAACAAACUGGGAUUAGAUACCCCACUAUGCUUAGCCUUAAACCCAGAUGUUGAACUUACAAGCAACAUCCGCCAGGGUACUACAAGCGCUAGCUUAAAACCCAAAGGACUUGACGGUGUCUCAGACCCACCUAGAGGAGCCUGUUCUAGAACCGAUAAUCCCCGUUAAACCUCACCACCCCUUGUUUCCUCCGCCUAUAUACCGCCGUCGCAAGCUUACCCUGUGAAGGUCUAAUAGUAAGCAAAAUGGGUAAAUCCCAAAACGUCAGGUCGAGGUGUAGCUUACGAGGUGGGAAGAAAUGGGCUACAUUUUCUAUACCAGAAUAAUACGAACAGCACCAUGAAAUUGAUGCUCGAAGGUGGAUUUAGUAGUAAAAAACAAAUAGAGAGUCUUUUUGAACCAGGCUCUGAGACGCGC
rnacentral:ncRNA from 1 species